rnacentral:rRNA from 1 species
GACGAACGCUGGCGGCGUGCUUAACACAUGCAAGUCGAACGGUGAAGCGCUUUCCUUUUUGGUUGGUGUGGAUGAGUGGCGAACGGGUGAGUAACACGUGAGUAACCUGCCCCCUUCUUCUGGAUAACCGCAUGAAAGUGUGGCUAAUACGGGAUAUUCUGCGCCUGCUGCAUGGUGGGUGUGGGAAAGAUCGUGCCUUUGGGUGUUUUCGGUGGGGGAUGGGCUCGCGGCCUAUCAGCUUGUUGGUGGGGUGAUGGCCUACCAAGGCGGUGACGGGUAGCCGGCCUGAGAGGGUGGACGGUCACACUGGGACUGAGACACGGCCCAGACUCCUACGGGAGGCAGCAGUGGGGAAUAUUGCACAAUGGGCGCAAGCCUGAUGCAGCGACGCCGCGUGAGGGAUGGAGGCCUUCGGGUUGUGAACCUCUUUCGCCAGUGAAGCAGGCCUGCUCCUUGUGGGUGGGUUGACGGUAGCUGGAGAAGAAGCGCCGGCUAACUACGUG